CCCGUUCUAAAGGGCACCCACUUCCUCCGGGCCAAGGCCACGUGCUGCAUUUGCUGCUGGCUGGGCCACUCUGAGGAGAGGGCGGGAGGAUAGCAGCUUCCAUAAUUUCAAAGGCUCACGUCGCUGUUUGAACACCAGAGGGCGCCAUCAGCCUGGUUUCUGGAGUCGCCGCUGCUCUGAUCAGAGAACUUGACAGGAAGAAGCACUUCUGAGAUCUGCCUCUUCAUUCAUCUCGAAAGAUUCAUCCUUUCCCUGGUCCUGAAGAGCCAGCAUUCCGUCAGGCCGCUGGCGUCCAGCACUGCCCCCAGAGCGUCUCUCUACAGCUGAGUCCCCAAGGGGGUCAACAGCAGCCAUCAGCACUCAUCUGUUGGGCGUCUUUUUUAAUCUACCUGACCCACAGUAGGUUUAUGGAGAAGGCACUUUUUAAGCCAAUGAACACUGCAAAGGCUGCUGGGGUGUGUGAUCCAAAGCAUUUGGUCCACAACUUUUUAUUGUGUGUAAACAGACUGAAUUCAUAAAUGAGUCUCAACAGGGCCAUAAAAGCUGGUCUCAUCAGGGCCUUCACUU